GUUUAUUCUGGUGCAACAGAGGGACAAACCCACAGCUUCAAGAUGUCAGACAUUUUCCCAGAACCAAGGCAGAAAAUGAAGAUGGUUUGGGUGCUGGGGCAGAGCCACAGGCAUCCAUGGACUGAGGAGCCCUGCACUAAAUUGCAAGCUAUGCCUCCAGUUGGUCACAGCCUGGGGAAAACCACUCAUAUCCGGAUCCACAAAAUUACUUUGGCACCAGAGCACUACUGCUUUGAAGGCUUCAAGCAACUUUUUCACCUCGCAGAAAAAUGAGUCUGUUCCCUAAAUUAAAGUGGUGGCCCCGUUC